rnacentral:snRNA from 1 species
GAAUGUGAGGACAAUCUGGCAAUGACAUCUGCCACCACAUUGAUUGCCAGGGUUGACACUAGCUGGCUGGCUAGGUGGGUGCCCCUUUCCUCCCUCAACACUUCAUGUGUGUCCCUCCCGUCCCUCCCAAAGUCCUGCACUUGCUUGGUUGAAGAUGACCACCCCUGAUAAAGAAGGAGCUUUCCUCUAUCAAGGUUAUAGGAGUAGCUGCGCUCCCCUGAUGGAACCUCCAAACAAGCUCUCAAAAUAUGUGAUUUCCUUUCUUUUCUAAUUAUGAACUUCUUACUUCUCUUUAUGUAAAUAAAGUUUGAAUUCCUAUUUGGGGCCAAAACAUU